rnacentral:rRNA from 1 species
AACGAACGCUGGCGGCAGGCCUAACACAUGCAAGUCGAGCGCCCCGCAAGGGGAGCGGCGGACGGGUGAGUAACGCGUGGGAACGUGCCUCUUGCUAUGGAAUAGCCUCGGGAAACUGGGAGUAAUACCGUAUGUGCCCCUACGGGGGGAAAGAUUUAUCGGCAAGAGAUCGGCCCGCGUUGGAUUAGGUAGUUGGUGGGGUAAUGGCCUACCAAGCCGACGAUCCAUAGCUGGUUUGAGAGGAUGAUCAGCCACACUGGGACUGAGACACGGCCCAGACUCCUACGGGAGGCAGCAGUGGGGAAUCUUAGACAAUGGGCGCAAGCCUGAUCUAGCCAUGCCGCGUGAGCGAUGAAGGCCUUAGGGUUGUAAAGCUCUUUCAGUGGGAAGAUAAUGACUGUACCCACAGAAGAAGCCCCGGCUAACUCCGUGCCAGCAGCCGCGGUAAU